UCCGGGAUCUGCUAAUGGUAGGCAACAUCCCUCUGAAGGAUGGAAUCUUGGUUCGAAUCCAAGUCCCGGAA
rnacentral:tRNA from 1 species